UCCAUAAUCUGUAAGUUCUUUGUUGAGAUGAGUAUGAAUGGUUGGUUUUCGCUCUUUUUACAGCUUAUUGUGUGAAAAAACCAUAUUUUCUACUCUGGAUCAUUUCUUACAUCAAAAAAGCUAACCAAUAGAAAACGAAUAAAAGAUGACUGAGUUACAUUGUUACGGUGCCACAUCUAUGAUCUUCUUCCAAUUCUUGGUCAAACUCUUCUAGAGCAGACAUCUAUAUAAUUGUGGCUUGAGAUUGAAAUGAUACUCUUUUUCUGCAUGUAAUGAAGAAUUACAGUUUUUGGUGCUAACUCUGUUAAUAACUCUCAUGGGCAGAGCAGUUUCGUGGCAAGAGCUGGUACUGACAGAAAGCAAGUCGUUUUGCCCGUACUGUGUGAGAGUGAAAGAGCUUUUGAUUGUGCCCGACAAAGAGACGGUAACCAAACUGCACAGAGACGGUAAGUUGGUUCCUAUGUUGACUGAAGCUGGAUCUUUCACUGCACAAGCUUGAACAACUUCUGCUUAAUAAGCACAUCCAUUUGUGAUUUAAAGUUGUGGUUAUGUCGAAGUCGGUACUGAACUCUGAUACAUUUAUGAUUUAUAUUUAAAGUUCAACUAUAUUAACUUUGUCACAAUUAUCAACUAUUUAUUUUAUUUUAUUGAAUUGAUCAA